GUCUACGGCCAUAUCACCCUGAACGUGCCCGAUCUUGACUGAUCUCGGAAGCUAAGCAGGGUUGGGCCUGGUUGGUACUUGGAUGGGAGAAAAUAAAAUCUGUUUUGUGCACC
rnacentral:rRNA from 1 species